UACGUAGGGGGCGAGCGUUGUCCGGAUUUAUUGGGCGUAAAGAGCGUGUAGGCGGCCAGGUAGGUCUGCUGUGAAAACUCGAGGCUCAACCUCGAGACGUCGGCGGAAACCAUCUGGCUAGAGUCCGGAAGAGGAGAGUGGAAUUCCUGGUGUAGCGGUGAAAUGCGCAGAUAUCAGGAGGAACACCGGUGGCGAAGGCGGAUCUCUGGGCCUUACCUGACGCUGAGACGCGAAAGCUAGGGGAGCGAACAGG
rnacentral:rRNA from 1 species